GACGAACGCUGGCGGCGUGCUUAACACAUGCAAGUCGAACGAAGAGCGACGGAAGCUUGCUUCUAUCAAUCUUAGUGGCGAACGGGUGAGUAACGCGUAAUCAACCUGCCCUUCAGAGGGGGACAACAGUUGGAAACGACUGCUAAUACCGCAUACGAUCUAAUCUCGGCAUCGAGGAUGGAUGAAAGGUGGCCUCUACAUGUAAGCUAUCACUGAAGGAGGGGAUUGCGUCUGAUUAGCUAGUUGGAGGGGUAACGGCCCACCAAGGCGAUGAUCAGUAGCCGGUCUGAGAGGAUGAACGGCAACAUUGGGACUGAGACACGGCCCAGACUCCUACGGGAGGCAGCAGUGGGGAAUCUUCCGCAAUGGACGAAAGUCUGACGGAGCAACGCCGCGUGAGUGAUGACGGCCUUCGGGUUGUAAAGCUCUGUUAAUCGGGACGAAAGGCCUUCUUGCGAAUAGUGAGAAGGAUUGACGGUACCGGAAUAGAAAGCCACGGCUAACUACGUG
rnacentral:rRNA from 1 species